GCCUCCCUCCUUUGUGUCUUUCCUCGUCGGUCACGGAUCUCCUCGCCGCGGUUGCAUUGUUCGAACAAGACGAAGAGGAGUUGGAGCGUCGGGUCCGUGCAGCGGCCUCCUCGCGGUGGCCGGCUGCUCGACGCGCCGCGCCACCGUUGCGGGAGAUGGUGAACACGAGGAGAUGCAGGGUGGCCUUGCCGGAAGAGGGCGAUGCCGGGAACCACCCACUGGUGAAGGACCAUGUGGGCUGACACUUCCCCGCGACGCCCUCCUUCCCUGACUUCACCGUCGCCACUGCCCACUCCCCUCCCGUCAAGGCUGAGCGUGCACAGCGUGGACGAGCCGGUCGAGACGGAACCAAAGCGCUCCAGGCCGGGGUGCGAGAACGAGAUGAUGUCCAGCAGGCGGAGGGUGGCCAUGGGAGGAGCAGCCCACAAUGAAAUCCAUUUUCUCCGUGCGUGCGUGCGUGCGUUGAAGGAGAUGGCUGUAACGAACCAGAGAGGGAGGGGAUUGAGAGAGGGGGUGAGCGAGACUUGGGGAGGAAGAUGAACUUUUCUUGCAGAGGGAAGAUUAGGUGAGAGUUGAACUGGUCACAUCGCAUACCCACACCAGCCACAGGUGGCCAGCUAAAUACUCACGCGACCCACACACGCACACGCCGGGAAGGGUCCCACCCGCAGGGUUGCCAGGUCACACAUGCCAAGUGGCCAGGUGUGACAUUCUCUCCCCCUUAAGACUGAGCUUCCUCCUGGGAGCUUGGCUCCGAGUCCUCCCAAAUGGCUGCCGCCGGAAACCGCUGCCGGAGAACCUCGCAGUCCUCCCAUGUCAUGGCGGCUAACGCUCCUUCGCCCCACUGCACCUUGACUUGCACGAUGACAGCAUUCCCGCGCUUCAUCAUGCGCCGUUCCAGCAGCUGCGUUGGUGCCGUCGUCGACACGGAGAGGUCCGGCACGCGCGGCAGCUCUGCGUACACCGGCAUAUAGUCCGGCGUGAAUGGCUUGAACUGGGAUACGUGGAAGACCGGAUGCACCUGGCUCGCGGGCGGCAGGGAGAGCUUGUACGCCAUGAGGCCGAUCUUCUCGAGGACGGUGUACGGGCCGAAGAACUUGAAGGCGAGCUUGGCGCAGGGCCGGUUGAUGACCGAGCGCUGCGUGUAGGGUUGCAGCUUCAGCAGCACUUGCUCGCCGACCUGAAACUGGCGCUCGGUGCGGUUGUGAUCUGCCUGCUUCUUGAACCGGCGCUGAGCGCGCUCCAGCUGGGCGCGGAUGUGCUCCGUGUGCGCCGCCCAGUCCAUGUCGCUCCCAGAUUGGCCUCCCGCCCAUAGAGCGCCUUGAAGGGGGUGCAGUUGAGCGAGGCAUGAAACGUCGAGUUGUACCAGAAUUCGGCCAUGGGCAGCCAGCGACGCCACUGGCGCGGCGCGUCGUGCACCGCGCACCGGAGAUACAUCUCCAUGCACUGAUUCACGCGCCCGCUCUGGCCGUCUGUCUGCGGGUGGUACGCGGUGGAGUAGAGCAAUUUGGUGCCUGCUCCGGCGAACAGUUGCUUCCACAGGUUGCUGGUGAACACCUUGUCGUGGUCGGAGACGAUCGACGCAAGAAUGCCGUGGAGCUUCACCAUAUUGUCCCAGAAGGCCUUCGCCACUUGCGGUGCGUGGAACGGGUGGCGCAGGGGCACGAAAUGGGCGAACUUGGUGAACCGAUCCACCACCACCAUGAUCGUGUCCGCGCCGUCCGACACGGGUAGCCCUUCCACGAAAUCCAUCGUGAGAUCCUCCCAUGGCGCGGUAGGUACUGGGAGAGGGGCCAGGAGUCCGACCGGCUUGCAGUGCUCGUGCUUCGCCCGCUGACAGAUCGCGCACUAUUGCACGAAUUCCUCGACGCCGCGCUUCAGGCCACGCCACUCGAAAUGCUUGCUCACGCGUUGGUACGUCGCCGUGACGCCGGAGUGGCCACCCACGGCGCUGUUGUGGAGCGCGGUGAUGAGCUUGGUGCGGAGCACGGUGUUGGCGCCGAUCCACAGAUGACCUUGGCGUCGAAUGACGCCGCGAUGCAGCUCGUAGCCGUCCUCGUCCGGGCUGGCCAGGGCGAGCUUCUGAAGACGAUCCUGGGCAUCUUGGUCCGUGGAGUAUGAGUUGAGCACUUCCUGGAUCCAUGCUGGCUGGCACGUCGAGAGCGCGGCCAGGUCGAGCUGCUUGCCGACGCACGACAAGGCAUCGGCCGCGCCAUUGUCCAGUCCCCGCUUGUACUAAAACCGGAAUUGCAGUCCCACCAGUUUCGCCAUGGCCUUGCGUUGCAGCUCGGUCUCGAGGUGCUGCUCGCCCAGGUUGCAGAGGGACUUGUGGUUCGUAAGGAUGUCGAAGGGGCCGCGUUGCAGAUACGGGCGCCAUUUGUCGAUCGCCAUCAUCACCGCCAGAAACUCCUUCUCGUACGUCGACAGUUGCUGGUUGCGCACCCCAAGGCCUUGCUGAAGUAGGCGACCGGGUGGCCUUCCUGGACGAGCACCGCGCCCACCCCUGUGUCGCACGCGUCCGUCUCGAUCGAGAACAGCUUGUCGAAAUCGGAGAGCGUGAGCAUGGGCGUGGUGACCAUCGCCGUCUUGAGCUGCUCGAAGGCCGCUUGAGCUUGCUCCGUCCAGGCGAAGCCUUUCUUGGUGAGCAUCUGUGUCAGCGGCUUGGCGAUGAUGCCGUAGUGUGGCACGAAUUUUCUGUAGUAGCCGGUGAGGCCCAGAAACCCACGCAGCUCGGUGGCGUUCGCCGGCGUCGGCCAUUGCUCCAUCACGCUCGUUUUCUCCUUGUCUGUGGCCACACCCUCCUUGGGGAUCACGUGGCUGAGGUAGUCGAUGUGAUCCGCGGCGGACGUGCACUUGGACUCCUUGAUGUAGAGUUGGUGUGCGCGAAGGAGCUCGAAGAUGAUGCGCAGGUGCUCCAGGUGCUCCGCCAUGGUUUCGCUGAAGACAAGAAUGUCAUCCAGAAAGAUGAUCACAAACUUGUGCACGUACUUACCAAAUAUAGCGUUCAUUAGGCACUGGAACGUGGCUGGCGCGUUCGUGAGGCCGAACGGCAUGACUCUGAACUGGAAAUGUCCGUGGUGCAUCUUGAACGCUGUCUUGUGCUCGUCCUCCUCGCGCAUCCUGAUCUGAUGGUAGCCGGCGCGCAAGUCCAGUUUGGAGAAGACCGCGGCACUAGCAAGCUCAUCGAGUAACUCGUCGAUGAUGGGAAAGGGGAACUUGUUUUUGAUGGUCGCGUCAUUAAGGCGGCGAUAGUCGACGCAGAACCGCCAGGUGCCGUCCUUCUUCUUGACCAGCAGCACCGGCGCGGCGUACGGGCUCACGCUGUGCGUGAUCAGGUCGGCGUCGAGCAUUUCCUUGACCUGGCGCUCGAUCUCGUCCUUCUGGAGCGGCGAGUAGCGGUACGGACGCGUGUUCGCGGGGACCGCGCCCUCACCCAGUGUGACGGCAUGAUCGUACUGCCGGUGUGGGGGAAGCCCUUGCGGCGCCGUGAACACAUCGGCGAACUCCUCCAACAGAUCAGCGAGCGGCGUCUGACUGGCGCACUUACGCCGCGGUGGUGGUGCGCGGCCGCAAGUGUCCACCAUGGCCAUCGCCCACACGUCGUUGCCCGCGAUCAUCUUGCGCAACUUGUCUGGUUUGAUCGCCUUGAGGGUGGUGGAUGCCUUCGUGGGCACGCCCCGGAGCGUGACCUCUUCGUCUUCGUGAGUGAACUUGACCCAUUUGUCCUGCCAGUGGAAGGUCAUGGGACUGUGCUGGGCGAGCCAGUACAUGCCAAGGAUGCCGUCGUAGGCGCCAAUGUCCAGUUCGCGCAUCGGAGUGGCGAACAUGUGCCCUUGCAUCCGCCACUUGAGCUCGGGGACGAUGCGGUUGCAGGAAAGACGGUCACCGUUGGCGACGCGCACGUCCACGCGCGACAUUUCUUCUGUCUUCAACCCGAGACGAUCAACAAAAGACUUGUUGACGAAGCUAUGCGAGCUGCCCGAAUCCAGGAGAAGCAGCAUGACCUGGUUGCCCACCAGUGCGCGCAGGCGGAUCGUGGUCGCCGAGUCCGUGCCGUCCAGAGCGUGCGACGAGAGGAGGCAGCACUCGGGAGCGUCCCCAGCAGGAGUGGGCGGCUGCGCGACCGGUCCAGGGUCGUCGAGAAGUUGCAGAGCGUGGAUGGUGUCGUCGGAGAGCACCUCGCCGUGAUCCCCGAUGCUGAUGGUGAGCAGCUGGGCGGGCUGAGCGCACCGGUGCUCCCGCGAGUAGCGGUCGCCGCACUUGAAACACAAAUUAUUGGCGCGGCGAUAGUCGCGCAGUUGCCGCUCGCGCGCGUAGUCGUCCGUGGGGGCGUGGUUGGGCGCGGCCGCCCGUGGUUGUUGUGGCGCGCCGCCGGUGGGGGUCGCCCCGCUGGUGUGAUGCGUGGGCGCGCGCGCGUCGUGCCCAGUUCCUCCUCUUGAAUGCGUGCCAACACCGACGCCCUGGUGAUGCUCGAGGGCGCCUGCAGACGAACCGGGGUGCGUAGCUCGUCCUUCAAGCCCAGGAUGAACUGGGUGACGAAGAACUUGGUGUUGAUGGACGGAUCGAGCGCGAGCAGGUGGUACAUUUGCUCGUCGAACACCGCGCGGUACUCGGCUCCUGUGGCCGUCUGACGGAGUUGCAGCAGCUUGUGCAUGACCACCUCGAACUCGUCGGCACCGAACUCCUCGAGCACGGCGGACGUGAAUACUUCCCAGGUGAUGCCGCGAUGUGUUUGACGAAAUGCCUGCAGCCAGUGCGCUGCUUGGCCUUUGAUGUACAGCGCCGUGGUGGGCACCCAAUUGUGUGGUGCGACCUUGUAGAGUUUGAAGUACGCCAGGUAGCGAUCCAGCCACAGGUACGGAGCGGAGCCAUCGAAUCGAGGGAAGUCGUGCUUCGGUGGCUUGUGGAAGUCGUUGCCGUAAUGGUCCGCUGUUGGGGAGGGAGCGGCAGCCGGAGCAGCGAGUCCGCCCUGUGGAGGCACCGGAAUCAACGGGGGUCGAUGGUCCCCGAGACGCGCGUGGGCGGUCGCCUGGCGGCCCUGUUCGGUGGCCACGCGCGGCGAGUGUGGAGGCGGCGGGGGUGGUGGUGGGGGUUGUUGCGGAGCGGCGGGUUGGUGCAACACGGUGGUGACCGACCCCGAUUGCGAUGCCGAGCCUUCCAUCGUCUUGCGAGUCGCAUCGACGUCGGCCUGCGUCAGAUCGAUCUGUCUGGCGAGGCCGCGCACGUCCUGCGAGAUCUGCGCGUUGAAGGCGGCCUGAAUCUCGAUCUGCUUGUCGUGGACCGCCUUCUGCUCGUCCAUCUUGGCGAGGAGGGACUCGAGCAUCUUGGUGAUGUUGCUAUUGCCCUCGUCCAUGGCGGCCAGCACCUGACGCGUCGCCGCCGAAGCUUUGGAGGGCGCCGUCGCCUUGCUUGGAGGAGAUCGAACCCCGUGACGGAUUUCGGGUGAGCUUGCCAGAGUAGCACACACCGGCGCGGUGGAUGUUACCGAUCUGCAACCAGCGCGGUGGGAGAAAAAAAUUUGGGGCGAUUUUGGCUCUGAUUACCAACUGUAACGAACCAGAGAGGGAGGGGAUCGAGAGAGGGGGUGAGCGAGACUUGGGGAGGAAGAUGAACUUUUCUUGCAGAGGGAAGAUUAGGUGAGAGUUGAACUGGUCACAUCGCAUACCCACACCAGCCACAGGUGGCCAGCUAAAUACUCACGCGACCCACACACGCACACGCCGGGAAGGGUCCCACCCGCAGGGUUGCCAGGUCACACAUGCCAAGUGGCCAGGUGUGACAAUGGCGUGGCCGCGUGGGGAUGAGGCGGUGGACAAAGACGCCGUCUCGUCUCGUCUCAUCUCUGCAGGUAGAGCGGCCAGAGGAGCAGACCAACAUCCCUCUUUACCUUCCACGCAACACCAACAUGGUGAGCUUCCCGUCUCCCCAUCUACUCCCAUAUCUGAACAUCAACUGCAGUUUGUACAUUUUGAUUAUGCUUUGUUUCAGUUUGUACACAUCUCCUUUUGGUUAAACUCCUGUCUUAGAUGCUAUGGCUGAAACUAGAGCAAACUCUGUGUGCAGCACAUUUUGGUUCAGUUUUGGAUGACUGAGACUAGGUAGAGUAUACUAUGUGUGUGUGUAUCCAUUGUAUCAUGACGAAUUGACUUGUGCUAAAAUUAGAAACGAGAAAUGGUACACAGACAUGUUAGUCUAUUUAACCACCUUCUCGGAUCAACUUGACGUGAUACUAUUCUGAUUUGUUUUAGUAACUGUGGUUAUAUACUCUAUAAAUUUAUUCAUCAACAUGAUUUCUCUAUUUUCUGUGUCGUACAUUUUACAUAUCUUUAGUCAUCAAAAAUCAAAUAGGGGCAAGACUGUUACAGAAAAAUUACUUGCAAGCAUAAUAGCAUAUUGUGAUUUACUUCUUUAUAGAGUAUUUCAUAAUGCAAUUAUCUGUAUAAUCUCCUGUGUUUGCCUAAUGCUGACCAUCUGAGAAUAUGUGAAGCUAUUUUCUCUCUGUCCUGAAGGUUGUUGACUGCAGAAUCUGUGGUGAUCCACACUCUGUUGGUUCACACUCAUUGAGUUCGCUCGUGAAGUUAUUAUAUCUUCACAUGGUACAUUUAUGUUUUUCGGCAGUUAAUUGAUGGUUUGAUACAUGAUACAUUUCAUGCACAGGGUGCUAGAGCUGCACUUAAUUUGCUAACAUCAUCGCCUUGUUCUUCCUGGCAACGUAAGGACCAUCAACUUCCAUUUGCAACUCUAGCACAAGUUAAGUAAGGAAGCCAUGAAUAUUUCUUUGUUUGAGAUGAACGCUAAUUAAACCUGCACUCCUAAAUCUGGGGGCUGCCAACCCCUUUUGUCUAAUUCAAAAUAGUUAUAAAUUGUUAAUGGUUGUCGUUGUCGCUGUUAUAGGAGUGAGGAUGGUGAGACAACCGACCGCCGCAAGGUUCUACAAAUGGUUCUCAGAGGUUUGAUGGCGAUGACAUGGCGCAGUCGAUCAAGUUUUGGUCAAUGUUUCAUGGCUCAAUCAACGAAUGGUGUUAAAACUGCUAAUCCUGAAAGCAAGAUUUUGAAUGAUUCCUACCUCGAGCUUCCGCUUCACUUGUUUCUUGGUUGUUCAAGUAUGCUUGGUGGUUCUUCAUCGAGGGUUGAGAUGGACCAUGCACUGGUUACAUCUUCUCCUAUCUCCAUGUUCUUAAUUUUCUUGUGCAAUGAGAGCUGUAUUAAGACAACAGUUUGUGCAGUCCAUGCUUUUAACAUUGAAAAUGAGAGGUGAAAUGAUGGGUUUGGACAGUGCUGAUGUUUUUUUUCUGGGUAUUACAUUACUAAAA